CACCCCCUUCUUUUGGUACCAUAAAUUUGUCUUCUUUGUCUAUGAGUCUAUUUCUGUUUUGUAAAUAAGUUCAUUUAUAUCAUUUUUUAGAUUCCACAUUUAAGUGAUAUCAUAUGAUAUUUGGGAUAGUUAUUUUAAGUUAAUUGUUCUAACUUUACAGUUAUAUAUACUUUGCAAGAAGUAGUACAUGAAGGUUGUAUCUUUUGGGUAGUCAAUUGAAAAAGUGUCUAGCCACAGUUUAUGACUAACAGUUAAUUGAUAUGUUAUAUCCAUCACACAAGUAUGAAUAAAUGAAAGAAAAUUGAAUUAUGAAAAAAAAACUAAUUGUUUGAUAUGUAUCUUUCAACUUAGCAUUUCCUAACUCCAGCUCUAUUUUCUUCACUGUGAGCGUUUUAAUUACCAAGCAGCCCAGAGAAUUCUAGUCUGCCAGUCUCCCAAAAGUGAUGGAGGUACUGGAAGAAGUUCUUCUUUUUACUCCUUUAAGCCUCCAUGCAGGCCAUUCUUAUUCUUUCAUGACAUCAUAUUUUCAUAAUGGACAUAUUAAAUAUGGAUAGAUUGCAUGUGUGCAUAUAUGUGUGCAUGCUCAGUCACUUCAGUCAUACACAACUGAAGCAAUCAAGCACACACACACAUAGAGGAAAAAUAGGAUAGAAAUUUGAUUAAGAGAACUCAGGGAUUUCCAAACCCUAAACAUGGUUUUCACCACAAAUAUGGGAGAUUUCAUCCUAAAGACCCCAGUCCUAUUAUGUUUUUAUAGCUAUAUUUGCUUUGUCCUGACAAAAGACAUGAGUUUUCUCACUUAAAUAACAGAUUAAUUAUUUCUUUACACAACAUCUUCCACUGAUUUCCCAUACCCCAACCUCCUACAAGUUGAGGCAAUACAAGCAGAUAAACCUGACAGAUGUAGAGUGGGGCUCAGUAUCACAGGACAAGAAUUCCAAAAUUAUGAAUCUCAGAGCUUUCAUAGGAUGCCUGGUAGAGCUGCCCAUCCUGCCCAUCCUCAAGACAAGGGUAAACCUUAUCUUUCUCUGAAAAAAUCAUCUCUGAGGAAAUAAGGACAGAGGGACUCUAGAACAUUUAUCCUUGUAAUCUAUGUCAUUUCAAAGGAAUCAUACAAAAAAAAAAAAAAAAGAAUCACACAAUAUGAACUCUUUGGUUUCUGACUUCUUUUGCUCAACUAUGUUUGUGAGACUUAUCCAUUUGCUGCAUGUAGUAGUAAAUGGUUCCUUCUCACUGUACACAGUAUUCCAUAGUGUAAAUGUAUUGCCCUGUAUUAUCCUUUCUAUUGUGAAUAGACAUUUGGGAUGUUUCCACUCUUGUAAGAUUCAUAGUGCUCCUAUAAAUAUCCUACUGUAUGUCUUUUGGGGAACAUACCUUUUAGUUAGGUGUGUGUCUAGGGAUGAGGUUGUUGGAACACAAGGUAUACAUAUGUUUGCUAAAUAAUUUCUAGAGUGGCUUCACUAUGUUAAACAUCUUUUUAAUAAAUGUAUUUUCUGCUUUAUCAAAAAAAAAAAAAGUAAACGAGGCCAGGGAGAUAAAAUGUAAAGCAUUUUCUGAGGUAUCUGACUUGAAUUUCCAAAGUGUGCUUACCAUUCAUGCACUUUUAACCCAGGUUACUAGCACUCUUGGCUCAGUAUGCUCUGACUAUGAAGAGAUAUGAUAAUAUUCAUGGAACACUGACUCCUGAACUCCAGUGUACUCUCUCUUAAAAAUCACUGAGUGAUUUGAUCGUAUAUGACAUGCUUGGCAGUGUCUGGAGCAUGAAACUGGUUUUCUAUCAAGGUUUGGAAUUAACCAUCCUUUCUCUUAGUCCCUAUUUCAAAAUGUUUUAUUUUAAUUUCUGGUUAUUGGUGUAUCUGGGCUUCUCUUUUUCUCUUAAUUAUCUUACCUGCCAAUGACUCAAGAAAUUGGGUUUUUGAAGUCCCACUUUUAUAUUGAUUCAGAAAACUAAAAGAAAGCAACAUAAUGCUUUUUUUUAAGGGGGGUAAAAAUCAAGGCUAACUCAAUACUUUUGCCUCAAAAAUUCCUAGGAACUUCCUCCUGAAAGAAAUAAUGCUCACUUGUAUCCAGUGGGUAUUCUCUCUUGUUUCACUUUAAAGUCAUCUACAGUCAUCAUUGUAAUUAAUUGAUCAGGCAGAAAUGUGACAUGUUCUUUUGUGUUAAAUGUCCUCGCUUUUAAGUUAAAAAAAAAAAAAACAACUUCAUCCCAAAUGAAAGUUUAGCAUUAAAGGCUUAUUUUCAAUGGGAAUGGAAUUUAGCAUGAGAAUUUUAUUUAACUUAUUCCUCAAAUGAAAGAUUUUCUCCUGACAGAGGUUAAUGCAUCUGUUAAUGACAGAAGCAUUUGUCAUUUUUAUGAACUUGACAUCCUCUUCACUCAUCAAUUUCCAACCAUGUCAAAAGAGCACAAACUGUUCUGCAGAAAUUUUCAGGUAGUUAAGAACUGCUGACACUUUAUCAUUCCUUGGGGAAAAAUUAAGGAAGGGUUGAAGAAUAUCAAUUUUUGUUAUUGCUAUUAUUUCCAUAAUUAAAAGUCAUUUUAGUUGAACACUCUCUGAGUGACCUAUUACAUGCAAAUUAGAUAACUUUUAAUUUAAUAAUUGUUUUGUGAUUUAUCCAGAUGGUCUACUGAAGCAGAAGUAGAAAGCAAGAUUGAUUUUACAAAAACAUCUUAAGAAACUUUUGGUAGAUUCCCAAUUGUUCUGGUUAACUAUUGCUACAUAAUGAACUAUUCCCCAAAUUUUGUUGCUUAAAGCAGACAUUUUUUAUUCUUCAUGAUUGUGUGGGCCAGAAAUACAGGAAAGGCUCAGCGGAUUCCCAUGGCAUCUACUGGGAUGGCUGGGGAUGGAGGAUACAUUUCCAAGAUGGUGCCUUCACUGACGUGUCUGGAGCUGUGGAGCUCUUGGUUCUAUGUCUCCCUCUUCCUUCUUUCCCUCUCUGCAGUGCAUGGUGUAUCAUCCUCCAGAGCCCUCUUCGUGUGGCUAGGGAUUCUCAAAGCAUGAUUGCUCCAGGGUAGUUGAGCUUCUUACAAGACAGCUGAGAGCUCCAGCAAGAGUUUUAAGUUCCCAAGGCAGAGUAUGUAAGGCUUCUUAAAAGCUAGCUUCAGAAGUGUGCCACGCUCUAUUCACUAAUCAAGUCAUGAAGGAGGGGGAAUUCCACUUUACCUCCCAAUGGGAAUAAUUACAAAGAAUUUGUGACUCUUUUAAACCUAUCACAUAUUCAAGAUACUUAGAAAAUUGCUGAACUCUUUCUCUCAUGAAAACUGGGAAUUAAAACUAGGGAAAGAAAUACUGACUCUCUUCAAAACUUGAAAGUUCUAAUCUCAAUACAAGAGAAACUGCAACCACCAAAGUGAUGCACUUAUAAAAGGGUCAAGAGUUAGCUGCUAUUCUUUUUCUCAAGCAGAAGACAGGUGUAUGGACGGAAAGUGAGUUUAAAAGGCACUUCACAGAACACUGCCAAUCUCUCAGAGACAAAGAAUUUCUAGUGGGUUGGAAAUGCCACAAUAGGAGGAUGUGUCAAGCAAGAGUUUUGAUUAGACUAAAGUGUUAAAUUGACACAGGAAACUGAAAUCUCAAAAGAGUAUGUUUAAUCGGUUCCUUACCUCUCCAGUGACUUUCAAAUGCUGUGAAGAACUUAGCACGUUCACAGAGGCAAACCCAGCAUUUUUGUUGACCACUAGUUCAUUAAAUAACCUAAAAAAUAAAAAGAAAAUAUUUUUAUGUAAGAGAAUGAUAGAUAUAAUAUGUGUUUUAAAUUUUCCUACAACCAAAUAAGGUCAUUGGUACUCUAAUAGAAAACAUACACUUUAAAAAAAAAUCUAGCAAUUUUUCUCCUUGUCAUUGUCUCCUUAUUUGUGUCACCUUCUUCUCUUCCCUGUUUUUUUUUUGUUUUUUUGUAAUAAUUUAGAACAGUUCUGAUUUGUAUGCAUUUCAAUAUUCCUGGUUUCCAACAGUUUUAAUUUUCAAGGAUUGGAAUUUUUAAAUUAUUUUUCUUCUUUCCGUUGUAGUACAUAAUAAUAAUAAUAGCGACGAUCUUUUUUAAACGUUAAGCUCAUCACACUUCAUUAUCAUCAUCUUUGUUUCUCUUAAGUAAUCUUUGAUGAGUGGCUCCAAAUAGCUGCUUGUUGCUCUGAAAAUGAUAAAUGGAAAGAUAUUGCUGUAUCUUUAUUUCUCUGUAUCCUUUCCUUAAGCAGAUGCUCACUCUCCUGCUCUUCUUAUUGUACAUUAAUUUAUAGAAUGACUGUUUCUGAUCAUUUUAGACAGCUGUGUAUGUUCUCUGACUUUCCCCUGCCCCCUGCUUCUGUUAAUUUUAGGUUUCUAAGUAAUUAUUCAUUCAGUAAAUGGUUUUUAAGUGCCUAUUGUAUUCCUCGAAUCAUGGUACUAAUUUCUGGUCAAAGCUGAUUAAAAUAAGGCUAGUGUUCUUAAGGAAUACAUAGUCUAGGAAAAAAGGAAGAAGAGCAAAGAACUACUGCAAAAUACGUGAAAUGCCAUGGUCCAGGAAUGCGUUAGAAGUUCAGUGGAGUCAGUGUAAAUUUUUUGUGGACCAAAGAGAGCAGGUAGGUUUCAACUUCUUAAAAAAAAAAAAGCCCUAAUAAAGACCUUUCCUGUCAUACAAAGGACUUUGGGAUUUAUUCUGUAAAUGAAGGCUAAAUGGCGAAUGACAAAGAUAAAUAUGCAUUUAAGAUUCUUUCAUAAUCCAAUGUUAAAGUCCAUGACCUUUAUCUUCAAUUUUGUGAUAAAUUUCAGCAUAUUGUUUAUAAAAUUGUCUCCACACAUGUAUAUAUGUGUAUAAAGUGUUCUCCCUUCAAAACAUCUUUCCAGAUGACAAAUCUAAAUGAGUUUGCCUCCCUAAAUAUCUUUUCUUAAUUUUUAGAAUAAACCUUCAGAAAUAUUUUACUAAGAAAUCACUAUUUGUUAUUUAUGGCCUUCCUUACAACAGAUACAUGGGCUAUUUUUAACAAAUAUUUAUAUCUGGAAAAGAUACACGUUUGGAUAAUGCUACAAAUAAUAAUGAUAAUAAACAUUUGUUGAUUCUACUCAUUUUCCAGGCACUCUAAUAAUUAUAGAUAUUUUCUCAUUUGUCCUACAAUAAUACUAUCAGGUAAAUACUACUGCUAUCUCUCUUUUACACAUGAGAGCACAGAAACACAAAGAUUAAGUUACUGUGCCCAGAUCCCACAGCUAGGAGGUGGCGCAUCAAUGAUUGUAACAUAGACGUGAUUCUAGAAUGUAUAAACCAUUUCAAGAGCCAUUUAAUAGAUAUUAUCCUAUAUUCUGGUAACUGCUAAACAAAUCAUAUUUACUAUUUUCUUAUUAGUUUUAUUUUUUAUUUAGCUGUAUUAUCCUGAAAAUUCUAAAACAUCUUAUCUUACUGUAGUAGCCUAUGUUAAAUAUAUCAUUUUAUUUAUUGCAGUAUAAUUUGACUUCAGUAAAGUACACAAAUUUUAGUGUACUGCCUGAUGAAUUUUUGUCUGUGUGCACACAUAUCAGCUGUACCCAGAUCAAGACAUAUUCCUUUUCCCCAGUGGUUUCCCUAUGAAGCCUUCUAGUAAAUAUACAGCUAUGUACCCAGAGGUAACCAUCAUCCUAAACUCUGUUACCAUAAAUUAGUUUCGUUCUAUUCCUGAACUUCAUAUAAACAGAAUCAUGCAGUAAGUACAUUUUUAGCCCUAUUUCUUUCACUCAGCAUAAUGUUUUUUAUGAUUUUCGUGUAGUUAUAUGUACCAGCAUUUCUUUCUUUUUCUCUGCUAUGACAUAUCCUAUUCUCUGCUAUAUAGUAUCCUAUCAAAAUUUUAAAGUAAAUUUUACUAUGGGUAGAUGUUUGAAAUGUUUUCAGUUUGGAAUCAUCGUGAGUAAAUCUUCACAUUAUGUGUGCGUGUGUGUGUGUGUGUGUGUGUGUAUGUACAUGUUCUUGUCCUUUAAGGAGCAGAAUUGCUAGAUUGUAGAAGAGAUAGAUGUUUAAUUUUGUGCAAAGGGUUGUUCAGAGUGAUUUAUUAUUUUAUUUGCACUCCUACCAGCAAUGUAUGAAAGUUAUUUUUCUUUACAAUGUCUCCAGUACAUAGCUUUCUAAUUUUAGCCUUUCUGAUAUUUCAUUUUGGUUUUAACUUUUCAUUUCACUGAGCCAUCACUGAAUCAUGAUAAAAGAGCAGAUUGGGUAUUGCAAGAAUAAAAAAACCAAUCCAUUGGAAUUUUUAUUUCAGUUAUUGCCUUUUUAAGAUCUAAAAUUUCUUUUUAGCUCUUUUUUAGAGUUUCUAUAUUUUUCUUGACGUGUCCCAUCUCUUCACAGAUUAUAUCCAUAUUUUCCCUUAAAUUAUUUUGUUAAUAAUUGCCUUAAGGCUCUUGCCUGCUAAUUUCAAUAACUUGCCUAUCUGUAAGUCUGCUUCUAUCAACUGUUUCUUUUGGUUCUGAAUCACAUUUUCCUCCUUCUUCAUGUUUGUAAUGUAUUUUAUUAUAUUCUGAGAAUUGUGUAUAAAGGAAUAUUGGAGACUGAAUAUUUAUUUUUUUAUUUCUCAGAGAGUGCAAGCCUUUGUGUCUCCCAGCUUGUUUGAGGGCUGAUCAUUCAUAUUCCUCCCAGGAGGAUAUGCCCAGUGGGCUAAAUAUGUAAAUUGAUUUUCACUUGUGAUUAAUUCAAGCCCCAAUUUCCUGAGGUGCCACCUCUUUGAUAUAUUCAAUAUUUGUGUAGCAACAGGAUUGGCAGAAAUUUUGGAUAUUUUUAGCUCACCUUUAGAUUCAACUCUAGAUGUCUUACAGAAUCCAAUAACCUUGUUCUGCUCAUCUGCCCCUCCCCUAACAUUGUAUUCUGAGAAAAACUAAAGGAUGAUGGAGGAGAAUUAAUGACCAGUUGUUUGUCCUUAUGUUUGACUCUCUUCCAGGUGCAAUCUAUUUUCCCAGCCCAUGUUGUCAAAAGCCCAGAUGAUUUCACUUUCUGCAUGUAGAUUUCUCCAAAGUCCUUUGCAUUCCCACCUGUAUCCAUAGCAGGCACCAUUCUAGAAGUAUGAAUGCUGAUAUGGCUCUGCUUACCUAUAAAAAGCUUGCUUUCAUCUGGAAUUUAGUGCAAUACUAUGUCUGCUAAUGAUAGAAAACUUAAAUAUGCCAAUUCAAGUGACUUGGUCAUGCCUGCUUUAGAAUUCAGUCACACUGGGUAAAUACCCAAGUCAAUUCAGGUCCCACCCCCUCUUUCUCAAUUUCAUCUCGUUGGGUAUGAACCCGGUAUCUAACAUGCUGGUUAUCAUUCUGGUACUGAGAGAUAAGUAUAUCAUCACAUCACUCUGGUCUUGGUUCUGGCUUCUGUUACAGAGAAGCAUCUUAUCUGAUCCCUGUCAUUCUAAGCUACAAGGUGAUGCUAAUGACUUACAGGUGUCAGAUCCUUGUAAUCUGUAUCUUCUCUGUCCUCCUUAUUCUCUCUCAGUCAUAUCGCAUUCCCUCUUGGAGCUCUAAGCUAUUGCUUUCUUCACUGCUAUAGGAAUCUGUUCUCUGGCCCGUCUGUCUACAUUAUUCAGUCAGUCACUCCUGAGUACUGUUUAGAUGCACAUUCCUCUAACACACAAGGACCUUCUUAGACUACAUAACGUGAAAAACAAGUUUGUCUGUCCACCCAAGCCUAUGUGGAAUUUCUUUCAACUUGACCCUGGGGAUCUCAACCCAAAGGAGUGGAAGACACGAUUUCUAUUUGCAUCUAUAUCUCUCCAAAUACCACCUCAUCCUCCUCCUGUAAGUCAACAGAAGUCUCCCCCUUCCAGAAAAUCUGUUCUCAAAUUAUAAUCUGGAAUAUUUUCCUGUUUUAUGAUUUAUGUUACUAACCCAUAUUUAAUUUGCUCUGGCGCUUGAUAAGAGGAGUCAACCACUUGGAAUCCAAGAAACUUUUCUCUAGCUUUCGAAAUUCAGUUGUUUUUAAGAUUAUUAUCUCUGUUAUGAGCUUAACUUUUGUCUACCUAUAUUUGCCAUUCACAUUAAUCAAUGAUUAAUACAAAGUUAUUCUGCUAACAGAGCUUGGGGUAGGUUAGUUAAUGGUACAGAGAAACAUGAAAACACUUUAUAAAACUUCAAUAUAUUAUCUCUAUUGGUUUCUGUUGGAAAGAGAUGGCAUGCUCAAAAUGCAAAAAUGAAUUAAGUUUAAAAGGAUAUAUUCCCUAGGUAUGAGCAUGGUUGAGGGACUCCAACCUGAGAUGAUGAAAGGAGAAAUUAUCAUCUCUGAGUGAAGCGAGUGGUUUUUUAAGAGAGAGCAGCUGUGCUCUUUCAUAUAGUUGCGGGCAAGAAAUGAGCAGGUUUAUAAACUGCAAGGAGUUUACUAUAGGUAGAGAUCAGUUUUAAACUGGAUUUGAGAACUGUUGGCAUCACAUUCAGACUUUAAAAGACUAAGAGAUCAUGGCAAAUAGGAUCAUAGGCAAAGGGUUUUAUUUCAAGAUCCUCAAGUUUUCUAAAUUUAAUGUGCCUGAGAAUGUGCCUUCCUCAAGUCCUCACCUCGAGGUGAAUGGAGUCUUAAGAUAUUACAAACUGUGUUGGAAUGUUCUAAAUUCUAACAUAUCGUGUACUGAGGCAGAGGCAAUCCCUCCACAUGGACGGCACUAUCUGGGGGUUCAGACCCACCCCAAGACUUACUGAAAGGAUGUGUACUGCGCGUGUGAGUCCUUGAGGUUCAGAGAAACCAGAGAUCUUAAAGAACUCAAGGGUCGUGAGGGGCUGGAUAACUGGAGCUGGUUCAUGGAAGAUCCAGUACGGCUGCCUAAUUCCAAUCCCGAUCCCACCGAAAGUCGCCUAUUCCCCAUGAAGGCGAAGUCGGGGGAGGAGCUGGGGGAACUCAAAAGUCUUGCCCGGGCGGGGGAUGAGGGUGAGGGGAGCAGCUGGCUGAGGGAUCUCUGAAUAAGAGACACCACCUGGGAAAUGAGAGACACGUUGCUGAGGUGGCCGUGGCUCGGGGAGGCCUGGAGAGAGCGAAGGCGCCUGCGUGGCUUGGGCAGGUCCCCGGGAGCGAAGGGAAAGACACGCAGAGGAGGGGGUCCUGGCCGGAAGCAGUUCGCAGGAGGUCCGGUUACUCUCCGGGUCUCUUGUGGGAAAGAAACCAGACAGCUGCCAGUGUCCGAGGCCACACUUGUACCGAGCCUCUCGUUCACUCUGAAGCUGCAUGUUAUCGGGAUCACCGAGGCCUUGAUAGGUGAGACGGACCCGCCGUAGAAUGAGAAUCACCUGGGAGUCUUGGUUCAUGGUGAGGCCCAAGGACCCCAUCAGCAGCACGAUCUAAAGGGGACUAAUUGGCGUCCUAUUUUCAACCCCAGUGUUGCAAAUGGGGCCCCUUCUGCCCCAUGACAGUAUCCAGGUGGUUUUGGAAAGGCCAUGGUCACACUGACCUUGGCCUGACAGCCCAGGGCCAGCCGAACUCACUGCUCAUGUGCUCACUGCUCAUAUGCCUGCUGUUAGGUGGUUAAUGCGUCUGGUCUUCAAUCAUUUACUCGAAGAUGCUGGCAUACCACCCCUUCCUCAGCAUUGGUCUAUGGCCCCAUGCAAGAUUACCAAGACACAGUUGACUGAGGAAGAACAUAGCUGAGCCUGGUUUGCAGGUAAGUGCGCACAGUUUGAUGGUAGUAACCAGAAAAGCACUGUAGCAGCCUCGUAUCCUUGGACUACAGUGAGGAAGCAAGAGUGUCCUCUUGGCUGUGUCUUCAGGUGAUACAUCUGGAGGGUGUGGAAAAGGGUUGGCAAGAAGUAUGACUGUGUGCUGAUUCAUAAAUAGUGGCUCAACUUUGGAUGGAAUGGUCAGAUGAUUAAAAGGACUGGCAACAAUAUUUAAGACAGUUUAAAAUAUGGUCUCCUCAGAAUGUGUCUGGAGUAUAGAAUAUAUGUGUCUUGUAUGAAUAUUCAUGAAAAACAUAUUGCAGACCAGGCUUUCAGUAAUCAGAUAGACUAUAAGAUGCAUUCUAGGGAUGUCUUUGUGACUCUUUCCUCUUACUUCAGUGCUUGUUUGCUCAAUGGGUUGAGCAAAGUGGCCACAGUAUCAAAGAUAGCAGGUUAUAUGCAUUAUAAACAACCUUGGUUUUCCCUCACAGAAGUUCAUCUGGCUAACCCCACUGCUAAGUGCCUCAUAUAUUAACAGCACAGACCAAAACAGACCCUUUUCCCUCCAGUUAGGGAUUGGAGGGUUGAAUAGUCACCCAUAUGGAUUGGGCAGAAUUUCACCACCCCUGCCGGAAUAAACAUUUUUUUUUUCUGAAUAUAGAUUGUCUUUGUUAGACAUCCUGAAUUCCAUAUUUCCCAUAAUUGUAUCCCUUAUACGUUGUUUUUAACAAAGAAACUCUUUUAUGGUGAAAAUGACAAGACAGCCUGAUACUUAAGGGAUUUAUUAUAAAAUGGUUCAGUAGUCAGUAAAUUAUUCAGUAUGAUACCAGCUGGUAACAAUGACGUGUAAAUUUGAGGUGCUAUCCUAUGGGAUGCUCUCUAAACCAGUAAUCAGUAUCUAAUUUUCUUUUUUUUUUUUUUUGCUUUCCAUAACCAGAAUAUAGCCACCAAGGGCAUGGUAAUUCUCAUUAUUUAUCUUAAUGAACCUUUUGUCAAGGUUGGCUUUCAUUCUCCCUAGCUAUACUUUUGGUAGUUUUAGAUUUAGGAAAUCAUUCACAAGGGCAUAAAAUAAGGAUUCACUUGACCUUGAUGCUGAGGUUGCCAGCUGACUGUUGGGGCUCUUCCUGCCCCUGAAGCAAUGAGGAAAGAAUGGAGUGGAUAGAUUCUCUGUAGUGACCGACCAGAGAGUGAAUAGGAUUGAUGUUAUUACACAGUAGAAGGGGGAAGUAUAUCUGAAGCCCCCAAGUUUCUCUAGGAUGCUUGCUAACACUUCUGCUUCACUUGAAAAGAUUCAUGGAGUUUGAAAAUGAGCAAUAAUAAUAAAAACUAAAUAUAAAACUAAAACAAAAACUAAAAAACUAAAAACUAAAUAAAAGCUAAAACAAAAAUAAUAAAAAGUCUCAUCCCCCACAGGGAGAAAGGUUUGUAUCACUGUAUCACUCGACCCUACCAGCUGAAGAACGCAGAAGUUAUAAAUACCAACUAUCACUUCAAAGCUAGGUGAAGAAAGUUAUAACAACUACCUAUGGUAUUUUUGUUUACUUGUUUGUUUUCGAUGUUGCUAAUUCUCUAUGUAUUUAAUCAGUUUCCCACUUUUUCUUCCUUUCUUUUACCAUUUCAUCCAAAAUAUGUUGGUAAUGGUUAAAAUUAGAACUUAACCUGAGUUUUCAGUAUAAUUGAGUAGCACUAUAAUACAGUAUGGAAGAAGAAUAAAAAAAUACCCAGCCAUGGAAAUGGUUAAUAAUGGAAUGAAGGAUAUAUUUGGAUAUUUAACAAAGUUGUGGACUUGCUUUAUUCAAGUUGUGGAUAAGUUUUAUUAAAGGCAUAAUGAUAAAUAA